rnacentral:rRNA from 1 species
AUUGAACGCUGGCGGCAUGCCUUACACAUGCAAGUCGAACGGCAGCACGGGGGCAACCCUGGUGGCGAGUGGCGAACGGGUGAGUAACAUAUCGGAACAUACCCUAGAGUGGGGGAUAACGUAGCGAAAGUUACGCUAAUACCGCAUACGAUCUAAGGAUGAAAGUGGGGGAUCUUCGGACCUCAUGCUCAUGGAGUGGCCGAUAUCUGAUUAGCUAGUUGGUGAGGUAAAGGCUCACCAAGGCGACGAUCAGUAGCUGGUUUGAGAGAACGACCAGCCACACUGGAACUGAGACACGGUCCAGACUCCUACGGAGGCAGCAGUGGGGAAUUUGGACAAUGGGGGGCAACCCUGAUCCAGCAAUGCCG